UACAAUAGAUCUCCUCACCCUUAGAAGAUGGAGAGCAAACGACGCAUAUGAUAAUUGGAGGGGCUUCAUCUCCAUUAUUACCGUAAUAAACAACAUGCCCUUAGCUCCUUCAUCUUAUACAUGAUUACACCCUCUCCUAAAAAAAUGCAGCAGCGGCAUAAGAGAGAGCAAAAUUAGUGCAACUUCCUUUUCUUCUCAAAACAUCAGAUGAAUCCCACUCUUUCUUCAUCCUUUUCACGUCACCCACACUGAGAUUUCCCAUAAAAGAAAGCUAAAAAGAGUUCCGGAUUCCAAAUGGGGAUAAAGAAGCAUCAUUUAGGAAGCUACUGCCAUUCUUUGCUAUUUUUGGAUUUCGUUCCAAAUAUGCUUCUUUGCUAUUUUUGGAUUUCGUUCCAAAUAUGCUUCUGCACCCGGGUUCGCUACUGUUGCU
rnacentral:lncRNA from 1 species